rnacentral:rRNA from 1 species
AUUGAACGCUGGCGGCAGGCCUAACACAUGCAAGUCGAACGGUAACAGGAAGCAGCUUGCUGCUUCGCUGACGAGUGGCGGACGGGUGAGUAAUGUCUGUGAAGCUGCCUGAUGGAGGGGGAUAACUACUGGAAACGGUAGCUAAUACCGCAUAAUGUCGCAAGACCAAAGAGGGGGACCUUCGGGCCUCUUGCCAUCGGCUGUGCCCAGAUGGGAUUAGCUUGUUGGUGGGGUAACGGCUCACCAAGGCGACGAUCCGUAGCUGGUCUGAGAGGAUGACCAGCCACACUGGGACUGAGACACGGUCCAGACUCCUACGGGAGGCAGCAGUGGGGAAUAUUGCACAAUGGGCGCAAGCCUGAUGCAGCCAUGCCGCGUGUAUGAAGAAGGCCUUCGGGUUGUAAAGUACUUUCAGCGGGGAGGAAGGGAGUAAAGUUAAUACCUUUGCUCAUUGACGUUACCCGCAGAAGAAGCACCGGCUAACUCCGUG